GCAUCACCUCGGAAAGGAGGUGAUGCUAUGGAGACGUUUCAGGCUCUUCAAUUAAUGUUCCUAUUUGGAAUGUUUAUUUUAGCGCUUUUAACGUUUAUAUAGGAA
rnacentral:sRNA from 1 species